UCCGGUGGUUAUUUCGGCGGUGUCACACCCGUUCUCAUUCCGAACACGGAAGUUAAGCCCGCCAGAGCCGAUGGUACUUGGACCGCAGGGUCCCGGCAGAGUAGGUCGCCGCCGGAU
rnacentral:rRNA from 1 species